GAAAUGUCAAUAUGUCAGCUUGAAGUCAUACCUGAGUUGACGCCAUCGAUGGAAGAGGAGGCUCGGGGUCUUGUGCGGGAUUUAGGCGUUCCGCACACCCCAGACGAGGAGAUGCCUGAUCCGAGCUUGGACCGAGAUUGGGUAUGUAAAUGAAAUAUAAUUUAUUGAAUAUGAUCGACGUAUAAAUUUAUGGAAUAAUUUUUCAUUUUAUUUAUGUAGGAGGGCGGUCCAGCUGAUCGACGAUCACCUCCGCCGGGGCCAUCGCCGCCACCAUUGGCAUCAUCUCCGCCGAGAGUAUCGUCCCCGCCAUUGGCAUCACCUCCGUCCAGACACCUCCCCCGUGUGUCUCCCGGGCACAAUGAUGAUUUGUAUGCCCGUUUGAUUGGAUUUAUAGCGGAGGAGGUCGGCGCGCUACGACGAGAUUUGACGGAGAGGGUCGAUGAUCUGGGACGAGAGUUGACAGGGAGGGUCGACGAUCUGGCGGGGAAGGUUGACUAUAUGACAGGGAGGGUCGACGAUAUGGGACGAGAGUUGACAGGGAGGGUUGACGAUCUAUCCCACGAUGUUGGAAUACUACAGGCUUCCGUUGUCGACCUUCAGGAUACAGUAGCGGCGCUUAGGGGAGAUUUAGCCGACAGACGAUGGGGAGACGGAGGGGAUGGCGGAGACCAUGAUCGAGAGGGUGGCAGAGAUGGUGAUGGAGAGGGGGGUCACCCACAUUUUUGGCGUGAUGAGGCAUUGGAGUCCUUGUGGUUGUCUAUGGAGGGGGUGGCCCCGAUGGGGAUGGGAGAGGGGACUACGGAGGGGGUGGCCCCGACGGGAGGGGCGGAGGAGGUGGCGACGGAGGGGGAGGCCCCGACGGGAGGGGCGGAGGUGGUGGCGACGGAGGGGGCAGAGGAGGUGGCCCCGGAGGUCGAGAGGACGCCCGGCGUGAUUGAGGGUAAGAGACAUGCUGUUGAUGAGACGGAGCAGGUGGUCGGCAAGAGAUUGAGAGUGCCGUCACAGUAUGUUGUUUCCCCCUUCACGGCUGAGGCCAAGAGGAGGACGUUCAUUGAUGGGACGUACCCGAACUUAUUCAGAGAGGUGGACAAUGCCAAGUGGAAAGCGUUCGAGACAGAGUGGAGGAGAAUUAUCCCCGGGUAAGUAUUGUAUGAUUUUAAUAAAGCACUGUACGCUAACUCUUCUACGCUUAUUUUUAAUAUUUCCCAUUCUUUACAGAGCUAGCCGCACGAUAGGACGAAGGACGAUCUCGGACCCUUACAAGUGGUUCCACGAUAUCACCACUGCGGGAGCUUGGCUCGCCGACGAUGUAAGUGAACUAUUCAUUUCGUGUUUUUUAUGUAUAUGUGACCUUGUGUUUAUUAAAUGAAUAACUCAUACUUUUUCGGUGUUUCCUGCUACAGCACAUCGACCUGGCCAUGGACUUGCUGCGAGAUCGAGCUCAAAGACAUCCAAAAUCAUUUGAUGUCCAUGGUCGAGUCAUAUUAAACACCGAGUUCCUGGGUGCCGUUACCAUAGAGUAUCAGUCGCUCGCACAUAUGGGUAACGAGUACACGGUGCCAGAAUAUAUGCUCGAGUGGGUGAUAGGACUGUCACCGAGUGUCGCGGGAAAAUCAUGGGAGGGUUGUACACAUAUGUACAUUCCAGCGUGCAUCAAUAAACACUAUGUUACGCUGGAGAUCGUUUUUGCUGACUCUACUAUAUAUGUGUACGACCCAGAUCAUUCAUGUUUGACACAAGGCCAGUUGGAGCAAAAUCUGGAGUCCGUGGCUGUCAUUGUUCCUAUGAUAGCCAGACGAGCGGGGAUAAAUGUACAGGACAGAUUGCGGAUCGUUCGGAACACGACGACAGCCCGACAGUCCGUAAGGUAAGUGUUUGAACGUUGUUGUUUUCAUCUUUUAGAUUUAGUUUUUAUUUACACAGUACUACACUGAUUCAUUCUUGUUCAAUUGCAGCGGCGACUGUGGCAUAUUUGCCAUUAAGUACGUUGAAUUUUUAAGUAUAGGACAUAAGGUUGAUGAAAUCAACCAGUCGUGGAUACAGAACUGGAGAAAGAAGCUAGCAUGUGAUUUGUUCGAAUUUAAUGCUGACCCAUAAAUUUCAGUUAUACAUAUGUAACAUUUCAAUUGUAAAUUUAAUUAUUUUUGUAAUUAUGAAAUAAUUGUAAAUUUGUGUUCAAUGUAUA
rnacentral:lncRNA from 1 species